rnacentral:rRNA from 1 species
UAUAAGCAAUUUAUACAGUGAAACUGCGAAUGGCUCAUUAAAUCAGUUAUAGUUUAUUUGAUAGUACCUUACUACUUGGAUAACCGUGGUAAUUCUAGAGCUAAUACAUGCAUAACAGCCCCGACCUCUGGGAGGGGUGUAUUUAUUAGAUAAAAAACCAAUGCCUUCGGGCUUCCUGGUGAUUCAUAAUAACUUUUCGGAGCGCAUGGCCUUGAGCCGGCGCCGGUUCAUUCAAAUUUCUGCCCUAUCAACUUUCGAUGGUAGGAUAGUGGCCUACCAUGGAUUCAACGGGUAACGGGGAAUUAGGGUUCGAUUCCGGAGAGGGAGCCUGAGAAACGGCUACCACAUCCAAGGAAGGCAGCAGGCGCGCAAAUUACCCAAUCCCGACACGGGGAGGUAGUGACAAGAAAUAACGAUUCAGGGCUCUUUUGGGUCUUGACUUUGGAAUGAGUACAGUGUAAACACCUUAACGAGGAACAAUU